CCUAUCUUUUGUUAUAGGAGUGUUGGCCAUGACCCUUAUGACGGAUGGGGAAAGGCAUCACAUCCUUCCUCUCCUACUUGCAGAAAUAUGAAUACUCAAGGUUAAUGUCAAGGAUGUUUGUUCCACUUCAAAACUGAUGAUGUAUUAUACUCUGCAUCUGAAUUGACAAGGAAUGGACUCUUCAGCACUGACAGCAAAUCUCUCUUUAGAGGUCUGGAAAAGCAGAAAGAGGAGGAUGAAGAAAUGUCCACAAAACUGCUCCUAUCCUUUAGACCACAUACGACCAAACUCUUGCCUUUCGUCAGUUUUCAGUUUGUACAUUAACAUAUCCUGGUGAAGUUCCUCAACCACUUCUGAAACAUUCAAUUUUAAUUUAUAUUUGCCCACAUUCUUUCAUCUGUGAUUUGGACACAUGCAGGCUAUUGAAUAUAAUGGAUACAAAUCUCUCACUGAUUCCCUUGAGCUAUUUCAUAGUUCUGCUUUCACAGGCAGGAGACAGUCAAGAAAUAAUAAUUCAGUUAUUUCUUAAAGAUUUCACAAUUCUACAUUCAAUAAAGAAAAUGUGAAUUCCUGGAAGUUAUG
rnacentral:lncRNA from 1 species